rnacentral:rRNA from 1 species
AUACGGAGGGUGCAAGCGUUACUCGGAAUCACUGGGCGUAAAGCGCGCGCAGGCGGUCUUUUAAGUUGGAUGUGAAAGCCUACGGCUCAACCGUAGAACUGCAUCCAAAACUAUUAGACUAGAGUGUGGGAGAGGAAGAUGGAAUUAGUUGUGUAGGGGUAAAAUCCGUAGAGAUAACUAGGAAUACCAAAAGCGAAGGCAAUCUUCUGGAACACUACUGACGCUCAGGCGCGAAAGCGUGGGGAGCAAACAGGAUUAGAAACCCCGGUAGUCC